GAUGAACGCUGGCGGCGUGCCUAAUACAUGCAAGUCGAGCGAACAGACGAGGAGCUUGCUCCUCUGACGUUAGCGGCGGACGGGUGAGUAACACGUGGAUAACCUACCUAUAAGACUGGGAUAACUUCGGGAAACCGGAGCUAAUACCGGAUAACAUGUUGAACCGCAUGGUUCAACAGUGAAAGACGGUCUUGCUGUCACUUAUAGAUGGAUCCGCGCCGCAUUAGCUAGUUGGUAAGGUAACGGCUUACCAAGGCAACGAUGCGUAGCCGACCUGAGAGGGUGAUCGGCCACACUGGAACUGAGACACGGUCCAAACUCCUACGGGAGGCAGCAGUAGGGAAUCUUCCGCAAUGGGCGAAAGCCUGACGGAGCAACGCCGCGUGAGUGAAGAAGGUCUUCGGAUCGUAAAACUCUGUUAUUAGGGAAGAACAAAUGUGUAAGUAACUAUGCACGUCUUGACGGUACCUAAUCAGAAAGCCACGGCUAACUACGUGCCAGCAGCCGCGGUAAUACGUAGGUGGCAAGCGUUAUCCGGAAUUAUUGGGCGUAAAGCGCGCGUAGGCGGUUUUUUAAGUCUGAUGUGAAAGCCCACGGCUCAACCGUGGAGGGUCAUUGGAAACUGGAAAACUUGAGUGCAGAAGAGGAAAGUGGAAUUCCAUGUGUAGCGGUGAAAUGCGCAGAGAUAUGGAGGAACACCAGUGGCGAAGGCGACUUUCUGGUCUGUAACUGACGCUGAUGUGCGAAAGCGUGGGGAUCAAACAGG
rnacentral:rRNA from 1 species